GCGUCCGUAGCUUAAUUGGAUAGAGCAUUGCCCUCCGAAGGCAAAGGUGUCAGGUUCGAUCCCUGUCGGGCGCA
rnacentral:tRNA from 1 species